GGUAGCUAGCUAACGAUAGCUAGGUCUCUGGUACACAGCAGGCCGGGGCGACACCGGUAGCUAGUAAUGAUACCGGAGCUCCGAGCCAUGCGUGAAGAUCUGACCGGUUCAAACAGUGUUUUGCAAAAUGAGAGAUCCCACUGAUUUGGCCGUUGUCUCGGCGCAUUCUUCUCCUAUUCCAAGCUGCUUUCAAACACUGACCUGGACACAGCACUUCCAAAUGUAGUUAGGAUUUUGUCCAAGAAGUUUCACCUGACUGGUAGUUUAGCAGUGCCCUGUUUCUACAGUCCAGACAAGAUCAACACUUCUUGAACCCCUCUCCUAGUGAUGUCCCAACCUGACAGGAAUAUCUAUUCUUCAUUGGAGGGGGGCAUCCAGCCCCCAAAUGUAGGCUUUGGGCAGCCAAGCCCACCAGGAUAUGGGAUGACCUUACCAAACACGCAGGGAAUGCCGAACCCAUUUGGGGGCCAGGGCCUGCUCCAGGGGGGAUGCCCUUCCCCACGCCUGGUGCAUUUGGUCAGCCCAUGUACUCCCAGGGUCACGGGAACCCAGGAUAUGGGAUGACCUUACCCAACACGCAGGGAAUGCCAAACUCAUUUGGGGGCCAGGGCCUGCUCCAGGGGGAUGCCCUUCCCCACGCCUGGUGCAUUUGGUCAGCCCAUGUACUCCCAGGGUCAGGGGAAACCAGGAUAUGGCACUGCACCUUAUGCUCCCAUGCCUGGGGCCUACGGUCAGGGCUUUGACAACCCAAAUCAUGAACCAAACACUGAUUACCACAGCGAUGAUCAACCCCCAGGCUUCAGUGACAAUAGUUCCUUCUCUCUUGGCUCUGGACUGGAUGACAAGACCAUAAGACGAGCCUUCAUCCGGAAAGUCUUCAUGGUGUUGACCGUCCAGCUGAUGGUAACAUUCUUCUUUGUGGCUCUCUUCACCUUUGUGGAGGAAAUCAAAGUGUUCGUCAGGGCCAACACAUGGACCUACUGGGCGUCCUAUGGCCUCUUCUUCGUCUCUCUCAUCACCAUCAGCUGCUGUGGAGAUUUUCGCCGCAAACAUCCAUGGAACCUGAUUGCACUAUCCAUCCUGACCCUGGCUAUGUCCUACAUGGUGGGGAUGAUAGCUAGUUUCUACGACACUGAUUCAGUCAUCAUGGCCGUGGGCAUCACUGCUGUUGUCUGCUUCACCGUGGUUAUCUUCUCUCUCCAGACCAAGUAUGACUUCACUUCCUGUCAUGGUGUGCUGUUGGUCUGUCUGAUUGUCCUGGUCCUCUUCGGCUUCCUCUGCAUCUUCAUCCGCAACAAGAUCCUGGAACUGGUCUACGCCUCGCUGGGCGCUCUACUCUUCACAUGCUUCUUGGCUGUGGACACUCAGCUGCUGCUUGGCAACAAGGAGAAUGCCCUGAGUCCAGAGGACUAUGUUUUUGCUGCUCUCUCACUGUACACUGACAUCAUCAACAUCUUCCUCUACAUCCUGGCUAUCGUUGGAAGAGCACGGAACUGAGAGCUUCCUCUAAAGGAACCAUUUGAAGGAUGAAGGAGUCUUUUUACAGGAGUUACUCAUCUGUUCCCAUAUCUAGUACAACACCUGCUACACAUUGUUUUAUGUGCCUAUGUCUCAGGUGAACACUGCUGUCGCCUGUCGUCCUAAAUGUGGUUCCCUAUGCGCUUUUAGAGCAGUGGUUCCCAAACUGUGGGGCGCGCCCCCUAGUGAACUCAGUCCGGCUUUGAACUUACUGUUGAAAGUUGUAACAGUAGAAUGCACAAGGUGACGUUUCUAAACGGGGUGGUGCAUCAUCACUUCCUCUUGUCAGUCAUCGCAGAGCGUGUUUGGGAAACCCUGAUUUAGCAGAUGUUCUUAUCCAGAGCCAUGUAUUUUUCUAUUGUGUUAAUAUUUUUCUUUGCUAAUUUUCGUACUUUUUUAACUCUGCAUUGUUGGGAAAAGACUCGUAAAUAAGCAUUUCACGGUGAAGUCUACACCUGUUCUAUUCGGCGCAUGUUACAAAACAUUUGAUUUGACUUAGUUCAUUUAACAUGGGUAACUAAACAACCACAUAUCACAGUCAUAGCCAGUAACUCUGCUUGACUCCCUCAUCUUCAUUGUGCUCAGUUUUUCUUUCUUUGUAAAUUAUUUCUCUUUUUUCUUCUAGGGGGCAUCAGCUUAAUAUUGCCGAAAGAAUAUUGCUUCCAUCAAUGUAAUUGUCUGCAUCAUUUCCAAUCCCCCAUUUAUUUUUGGGGGUAAAUAUAUAUAUCCAUACAUGCAUGCAUACAUAUACACAUACCUAUAUAGACAUACAUACUUUUUUUAAGAAUAUACCUUUAUUAUUAUUCCCCGCAAACCCUACCACCGAUCCCCCAAUUGGAGUAAACUAAUAAACACUUCGGCUUUUACCUUCAAUUUAUUGAUCUUAUACACAUUUUACAGACAGUCUAUUUUACAAUAGUUAUUUUUUUGUUUGUUUUUAGUCCUUCCUCUAUUUCUGAUGUCCAUCCAGUUUGAUUUCUAUUUGUAACUGUGCUAUAUCACAGUUACAAAUCAUUGUGCUCAGUUUUACCACAAUCCACACUGGUUUAAAUUGUGUAGUGUGAAUCAUUAAUAAUAUUUGAAUUCAAUUUGUUUUGUGAUAUUUCUGAUGUUUGAGUCUUUGCAGCUGUAUUUGUUGAUAGUUAUUCAAUUAAAACUGAAUUGUAAUCUC